ACUUUCACAGGAAGACAGAAUUCCUGCCGCCCUUAGGCGGCGAUAAUCUUGGUGCAAAUCCAAGUAAAAGUA
rnacentral:tRNA from 1 species